rnacentral:rRNA from 1 species
AGAGAAAAGCUCAAUCUUAAAAUCUGUAGGCUUUUUUGUCUACCGAAUUGUAGUUUUAAAAUUUAUAUUUUAGAGGCAUUUAAAUUGAAAAAGUGGAAAACACGAAUUUCCUAUCAUUGAGGGUGAGAAUCCCGUUAAUUUCUUUUUAAAUGUUUCAUUAUUAAAAUAUAUUUUUAC